rnacentral:rRNA from 1 species
CCUACGGGAGGCAACAGUAAGGAAUCUUGGGCAAUGGACGAAAGUCUGAACCAGCAAAGUAGCGUGAAUGAUGACUGCCCUCUGGGUGGUAAACUUCUUUUAUAUGGGAAUAAACUGUUCCACGUGAGUGCUUUUGUAUGUACCGUAUGAAUAAGGAUAGGCUAACUCCGUGCCAUCCGCCGCGGUAAUACGGAGGAUCCGAGGGUUAUCCGGAUUUAAUGGGUUUAAAGGGAGCGUAGGUGGAUUGUUAAGUCAGUUGUGAAAGUUUGCGGCUCAACCGUAAAAUUGCAGUUGAAACUGGAAGUCUUGAGUACAGUAGAGGAGGGCGGAAUUCGUGGUGUAGCGGUGAAAUGCUUAGAUAUCACGAAGAACUCCGAUUGCGAAGGCAGCUUACUGGACUGCAACUGACACUGAGGCUCGAAAGUGUGGGUAUCAAACAGGAUUAGAUACCCUAGUAGUC